rnacentral:tRNA from 1 species
UAGGUGGAAGCUUGCAGGUUUUAGAGCGUCUAGCUGUUAACUAGAAGCUUGCGGGAUCGAGACCCGUCCAUCUAG